GACUGAGGGGAGGAGCUUGUAGUGAUGAAUGGCGUUGGAUCAAUGUUUGACGUUAGAGAACAGAUCGACUCCAUGACGAUGUACACAGAAACACACACAACAGGAGCCGAGGAGUUCACUUGGAGCCUCACUUACACUCUUGGAGAGUGAACGACGACACUCCUGCCUCCUGUCUCAAUAUUCCACAACACGACUAAGCCAUGGGAAAGGGAGACGGCAGUGGUGAUGGGAGCGGUGAUGGAAGCGGUAGGGGUGGAUUAUGUCCAGGACUUCUGUGGGGCUUCCUCUGGCUCCUCAUCCUCUGGUUCGCUGCCUGGCCAAUCGCCGGCUUCCUGGCUGGCUGGUACAUUCUCUUCCUUCCAUUCAGUGCCUGUAUUGACCCCUGUAAAGGAGUAUGUGAAGCUCUACUCAAGGUCAUCCAACUCCCUCUGACAUGCGCAGAGAAUAUGAUUGCCAUGAAGCCUGUCUGUGGGUAAAGUCAAGGUGAAGGUCAUGGACGAGCUCUCCAUCUUAAGUCGUAGUGUCUGCAGAGUGCAUGCUUACUAGAAGGAAUGAAGAUUAGAAUGACGUAUUUAGCCAUAUAUGGAAAUUUCUACUGCUGGAACCGGGAGGAGGAAACAACGCUAAACUGAAAAACGGAUAGUUCCACCAAGAUACCAGACUGGAAUAGGGCCCUAGAACCAACGUCUUUCCGACUAGUUAGACACCGACACGGAAGGUUAAAAUCUUCUGAAAAGAGUUCUCGAGGAUUCUCACAACUGAAUAUAAAGAAAGGUUAAACAACGUGCUGGAGUUAACCACAAAUAACUAUCUGUGAAGAAUCACUGACUUUAAUACUGUCGAUAUAAAAUGUGUGCUUUCAAUAAUGUUCAACUUCAUAUGUCCCGGGGCCGGAGGGGUAGUGUUCGCUCGUGUAGACCAAGACCCAGGUUCGAUUCCCCAUAUGGGUGCAAUGUGUGGACAUUGUUAAAGGUGGCGUAGAACUAUACUCACUCGCUCAUAUGUCCAAAUUGCUAACAUUUUUUUCGUUAAACAUGGAGAGAACCAUCGGAUAUUUAAUGUUGUAGCAGGCUUUCCCUUGCCCAUGCAAUAUAAGCUUUCCUUUCGACCAACAAACGUGAUCUGUCAUCCUUCAAUGGUUGCAUCUCAGCUGCAGCUGAGGCGGGAUGUCAGCAAGUUCAUGUUUUUUUUCCUGACAGACUCCACGACUGGGAUGUGUCCUACUUCUCGAAACAAUUACAAUGUUCAUUUUUAAAAAUAUAUGUGCGUUCAAUUUGAUGAACCUUAAGCAUAUGGGUUCGUUGCCGUUAUUAACUUUAAAAAACCCAGUCGAAUGACAAGGUCACUUUGAAAUGUGUUUAAAGUCUUCUUUGGAUGUUUCCAUGACAACGGAGCGUGCCACGUGGCUCCAUCCACAAACAGAAUCCGCCAGGGGAUGAAUCUCAGGCUGUGGAGACGGGAAGGGAGCCAGCUUAUCAUCACAUCCCCAUCAUAAACUCAUACAGUUUACCGCAUAGCAGUUCCCAUGAUGUAUUUAUAUAUUGUAUAUAUUUCUGAGUGUAUAUUUAUCAAGCUGGAUCCAAGAUCUAACAAAAAGUUAUUUAAAGACUUUAUAUUGUC
rnacentral:lncRNA from 1 species